rnacentral:rRNA from 1 species
GACAGAGGUGCCGAGCGUUAGGCGGAAUCACUGGGCUUAAAGCGCGUGUAGGCGGCCAGGUAGGUCGGUUGUGAAAAUUGGAGGCUCAACCUCCAGACGUCGAUCGAAACCAUCUGGCUAGAGUCCGGAAGAGGAGAAUGGAAUUCCUGGUGUAGCGGUGAAAUGCGCAGAUAUCAGGAAGAACACCCGUGGCGAAGGCGGCUCUCUGGGACGGUACUGACGCUGAGACGCGAAAGCGUGGGGAGCGAACAGG